AGGUUUCCAUGGAUCAUGGUUCUAUCUGGACCCUGUUCCUGCCUCCUGCCAUGACACCUGCUGCUGGCUUCUGUGGAUGGUGGUUGUCCCUGCAGUGGUCCUGCCGUACACCUGGCUUACUACAGGCAAGCGGGCUCUGUCAAUCAGGCAGACAUGGACCUCCUUUCAGAGGGGCUCAACUUCAAAGAGAAGAACUCAUCCCCCUCCUGCAGCGGUCCUCUAUCAGUCAGGACCACCAUGAAGAAAAAUAAAGAGCAAGAAGAUGGGAAAAGAUGGCAUCCCUUAGACUGUAAGUGGACAAAACCCAAGUAAUGAAAUAGGGUAAUCACUGUCUGUGGACAUGCCAACGGAC
ensembl:lncRNA